ensembl:lncRNA
ACACCUUGAUAAUUUUCUCUCCCCCAACAUUCCCUAUGUGAGCAAAAUCUUAGAAAAACAUAUCUCAAUUUUCCUUCUUUUUUACAUGGCCAUCGACCCAGACAAGAAAUCAAAAGACAAGAGUUAUAACCCUCAACCAGAAUUCAUUCGGACUUUAGCUCCAGGGAAGAAAGCUGUGGUAGGAACCACGCGCCAGCACUGACUGAACAGUGGCAACUCACUGCUGGCACCACCACCUUAGGGAACUGCUGGCCAUCCACACAAUUCCCUCCCAUUAGUCCUGAAGGGAGUAACAACAGACAGUUUGCUGUCCUCUGAAGAUGCCGACCACAGAGACUGGCGAAACGUUAGGAAGAACCACUUUCAGAACACGGCCAAGAAGCCCGAAAAACCCACAACAACAGUUAUUUUUGUUUUUUAAAUAUAUAGUUUAAUCUUUCAAUUCUUUUCCAGAACAGAGUAACAAGAAAGAGUAUGCUUGUACCGUAUUUUUAAUGCAUGCUUUCUCUUGCUACAAGUAUCCAACCUUUUCUUCACCAAGGCCAGGAAUUGCAAAGAAUCCAAGGAAAAUAUAAGACAAUAUGGUUGGACGGUGUUAUCGAAGGGACCAACAUGAAUUUGACCCAACUCUGGGAGGCAGUAGAAGAAGACAGGAGGGUUUGGCGUGCUCUGGUCCAUGGGGUCACGAAGACUCGGACACGACAACGUUCCUAGAGAGGCAGGAUGUUUAAAAAGUGGGGGAAGAAAUUAAUUAGCGCACCUCCUUUAGUCUUCCGGGGAGAAAAGCGGAGCGUGGGGUUUGCCUUGGCGAAGCCGCUGCUUGGAGGGAAGGCGAGGAACUGGCAGUGGAAUGGCAACAAAGGCAGGCUCUGGAUUAUAUCCUUGUUGUGGUGGACCAGAAAGAAUGGCUGUACACCUGAUUCAGGUAAGGAAGGGAGUAUCCGUGAAAGAAGCAAUGGAACAACCUCGGUGCUCCCCUUGUGUUUGUUGCUGAAAUAGUAUCUUUCUUUUCAAUACUUUUGUGAGGACUUUUCUGAGUUUCUCAUGACAUCAUGAAUUCUACAAAGGAAGAGUAAAGGAAAAACCAUUUAUGGUUUGUCGUUGCAUUGUAGGAGUUUAGCUGUUUGCUUAGUAAAAUGUUUGCAAAGCCACCCAUUUAUGGUUUGUCGUUGCAUUGUAGGAGUUUAGCUGUUUGCUUAGGAAACUAUAUUGGAGAAGUAAUGUCCUUCCCUUUUUUUUUUCUGGCAGCACAUGUCCUUUGAGGAGGUGGCCGUGCAUUUCACCCAGCAGGAGUGGGAUCUCCUAGAUCCAGGCCAAAGAGCUCUUUAUACAGAAGUCAUGCUGGAGAUCUACAGGAUGGUGGCCUCCCAAGGUAAGGACAACAUCUGUGCCACAUCUGUGCUCCUUCUGUUCCCCCAUUUUUAUGCUGCUAAUUCAGGAGAGAGGAGUCUGUUCUCAAAGCAGGGUCGAACUCAGCAGAAGCCAGGGACAGGGUUCAGCAGCCCAUAGAGGGUAGGUACUAAUUUCAGGGAAGAGCAGGGCCAAGAUGGCAGGGUGCGUGCGUCCAGAAAGCAUGUAGUCCAUAAAAGGACAAAACAGGUUGAUCUUGCAAUGAGAGGUGGGAGUACUGGAUCUGUGUCUGGCUGUGGCAAUGGGGUAGAGCACAGCUGAGAAACAAAAAUAAAUUGCAGUGUAAUUCGGGCA